GCCCCGGUAGCUCAGUUGGAUAGAGCAACGGCCUUCUAAGCCGUGGGUCAGGGGUUCGAAUCCUCUCCGGGGCGCCA
rnacentral:tRNA from 1 species